UCUUGUCAGGGCCCCCGAGGAGCAGCCUCUAGUCCAGCUCUCUGAGAUGGGGUCCGGGACUCCCCUGCUAUGGAUCCUGCUGCUCUGGGCUCCAGGCUGCUCUGGGGACAUUGUGCUGACCCAGUCUCCAGCCUCUUUGACUGUGUCUCCAGGACAGAGGGCCACCAUCUCUUGUAAGACCAGUCAGAACGUUGGUGACAUUUGGGGCAUGACACACUAUAUUACAUGGUAUCAACAAAAAUCAGGACAGCGUCCGAGAAUGCUGAUUUAUAAAGCAUCCAGUCAAGCAUCUGGGGUCCCAGCCCGCUUCAGUGGCGGUGGGUCUGGGACUGAAUUCAGUCUCACAAUUGAUCCCGUGGAGGAUGGGGAUGCUGCCAACUAUUACUGCAAGCAGAGCAAGGAGACACCUCCCACGGUGCUCUGGGUCUAAACAAAAACCUCCUCAAGUGGCUGCUCAGUCAUUUCAAUGAAAAAAAAAAAAAAAA